ACAAUGCUCUUCAUCAGAACAGAUAAAAUAUAUCCUAAGCAAAGCGUAACACUUUACUGUCCACAAUCUGUAAUGGGACCGAUAAUGUGGAAAGUAAAUGAGAAAGAUCCCGACAGCACUAAAUACUCCAUAAGUCCAGACAAUAGCACUCUAAUUGUGAAAGGUGCUGAAAUCAGUCAUAGUGGCAGAUACUCCUGCAUCUUACAAACAAAUUCUUUACCUUACAUCCAGUGGCAAAAUAUUGUUAUUGAACAAGAACCCAGUAUCAUAGUGGGUGAUAAUGAACAAGUUUAUCCCUGUGAAGACAAAACUGUUCAACUCACAUGCUGUGUUAAUGGAGACUACAGUGUUGAAUGGGUCCUGAAUGGCAUUGUGCAAACUUCAGGGUCAGGUUGUAUCGCAGUAAAUCAUAAGAUCCAAAAGAUAAAUUGUAAGGAAGAUAACUAUACAUGUCAACUCAAGAAUUUACCGCAAUUACUUGAUUACAGUUAUAGCAAGAGGAGUGUCACAGUAAAGACAAGCA